AGCAGUUUCGAUGAUUGCAUGGCUUUGGACCGAUUCACUCGUAAUAUCCACUACUCUUUUCUCGUAGAGCGUGCGGAUGGAUCCUUGGUUGAGAAAUGCAACUGCAUGCAAUUCACGCUGUAGGGAAAAAAGGAAAGCCCGAAUAUCAAGGUCUUCUUUUGUUUUAAAAUGAAUUCGAACGUGACACAACAAGUUAUGCCUCAACCUCACAAUUUUCUCAACAGAACACAUUUGCACCUUGGUGUCUGGUUAGAUACGGGAGGAUGGUCAACCAUAGCCAAAAAAAGCAAAUGACAAAACUCUUUGAAUUUCUCAAUACUCCAUGUAUUAAGUUAAAUUAUAUACAACAAAAGACGACUUAUAAAUUUCAAUUCUAAGAUGGGAAUACAGUCAAGUAAAUGAGUCGUAAACAUAACGACUUUUUAGGAAUGCUAUUUAUUAUUUAUUUUUUAACUAGCCAAGUAGUUAAGUAUAUGAACAACAAUAAUCCUUCAAAAGAGAGAAUCUAACAACAAAUAAAUAUAUCGAGAUGUAAACGA